rnacentral:misc_RNA from 1 species
UAGCAACUUUCGAGCCACAUUUUUGACUUAUCAUUCACUUGGCCAUUUUGUGCGCAGAGGCACCAAAUUUGAUUCCCACAGUAUGGAUGCAUGUGUGGUUUCUCCAGUUGUGGGUCUUCAGAGUUACAAUGCUCAGAAUGAAUGUUGGUUCCAGCUGCGGCACAUUGCAGCCAGCCAGACAACAGGAUUUCCGAGCAGAAUCUUGAAGGAGCAGUUAAAAACGCUGGAGGAGGCAGCAUCUCUCAUGUCAAAAGCUGUUGUAAACAAGGGGAGUGAGAUGUCUGUAAAUAGACAUCCUGAUUACGAGUUCUUCCUCUCUAGGCGAAGCUAGUGACUUCCAGUUUGUAUUUUAGAUUAGCAACUGAGAAUAGUCUUGUGUUUGCCAGUGACGAUGUAGCUUUCAGGUAAGAUUUAACUGCAUGUAAUGUAUAGGGCUCAAGUGGCUAAUCUACUGUCCUUUUUUAUUAUGUAAAUUUGUUUGAUAUUCAGCAAAGUAUACCUGUACAGUGAAUUUCAAACAAAUUUACAUAAUAAAAAAGGAC